UGAAGGACGCAGCGAAAUGCGAUACGCAUUGUGAAUUGCAGAUUUCAGUGAACCAUCAGAUUUCCGAACGCAUAUGGCGCUGCGGGGACUUCCCCGCAGCACGUCUGUUUCAGUGUCUUU
rnacentral:rRNA from 1 species